AUAAGAGAGCUGGAGGUCCUCUACAUUCGUAGGUAAACAACUCCACUCACCACCUCUGCAACCACUCCCUCAGCCCUCCCCCAGAAGGAUGCACUCUGAUGCACUCUGUUCAAAACCAGUUCAGGUUGGAAAGAAAUGAGAUCAAGGCAGAGCUCAGGGUCAAACAGGAUAAAUUAUGGCCUUUAAAGCAUUUUGUUCCAUUGGCUGUUUUCUGAUUUUAUUUUUUUUUCUUGGCCAGAUUUCUCCUAGAUCUCUUCAGACUCACAGGCUGUGCUUUUCAAGGUGCACUACUGAUUUGAUCAUUACCAACACAUGAUCCUUUCUCAUUCACUUCCUGCCUUCCCUAGUCCCAGAAAACCCACCAAAUCCAAGCACUGGGAACGAUUGUGGAUGGCCAGUGAGUUAGAGAGAAUGAAUGUCUCAGACCUCCAGGAAAGCCUUCCAACUCCCGAUCUGAACUUGUCUUACUGAUAUGUGACAUCUCAUUACAAACUGUUUGACAUCUUCUCUGCAAAAGGAUUAUCUGGACUCCCUGAACUGACCUCAACUAGCUUGUCAGAAUUUCUCCUGGUGCAAUCUGUGACCACUGCCUCAUCUUUCCCUGAGCACUUCUGAGGAAGAGUCUGGCUCCAGCUUCUCUCCAUCUUGUUGGUGAACACUUGGUCAUUCUGUAUUAUUUACAUUCAGUCCUACUCUAAGACUGAAUUUAUUUUCAGGCAGACACCUUCUUAGUAUUGUUCAAAUCUGCAGGUUAAUAAAACAAUGUGGUGAUAGACUAGAAACAGAUGUUCUUUGCUGAAAAAUAUAUCUGAAUAAUUAUCAGUGAGUGUCUGGCUUCUAGUGAAAAGGCUUCAUCCAUCAAGAUAUUUUAAAAACUAUCUGUGACAGAUUCUGCAGAAAGAGUUGCUGAUGGUAAUUGUCAUCUAUGCUCUUUCAGUAUGGAUACUUUGGAAAUUACUGAGCCCUUCUUAAUAUUUUUGUUCUUUCUGAUAUUUAUGACAAUUAGCCAACCAUGAAAUGAAGAAAGAACUAGUGUAAAGGGUCACGUUGUCUCUUCCUGUAAUCUGCAGAGCCAGGCUCAGACGAAUCUAAUAACAAAGGAAUUGAACUCCUGUAAUUCUUUUUCAUUAUGAAUCCUUAGCUGUUGCAAAUGAAGUACUCUAAAUUACUGAUUCAAACUCUCCUGAAAGCGUCUUUAUUAUGAAAUGGGAGACAUAAAAUAUGGCAAAAUGCACACUUUCCUUACUAUAUGCAGAUUAGUCAUGAUGCUGACAAAUAUUUGAAAGCCAACCCCAGUCUUUACCCAAUCUCUUGGUUGAUGAGACACUUACACUACUCAAUAAACAAGCUGGAGCCUCCUUCUAUGGCUAACCUUCCCCUCAGAAAGGAGUUGGUUGUAACCAGUCUGCCUUCUGAGAAUGGUCCUUGGCACGUCCUGUUUUUCAAAUCAUUUCUGGCAUUGUCUGAGACAAAGUCAAUUGACCCAGGGCAAAUAUAGGCCAGAGAGCAUGCUAGCAAUUAAACAGUACAAAUUACCAUGGCCCAGUUUUUGAACCUGAAACAGUCCAGUUUAUUUGCUAUUGUAUAUGUGCCUUUGAGUAUUCAGUGAGCUGCCCUUGUCUCCUGACAUGUUAGGAGACAUUCUUUUCAUUUUCAAGGCUUUCACAACCUUUCAUUCUGAUAGACAAUCACAGUGCAAUGAAUCAUUGACUGUCUGUGGCUUUGUUUGCCAUCCCAUAUAUUACAAGGAUGUGGUUUAAUACACAUUCCCUCAUUUUGCUGAUGCAGCAGACAGCAGGAUUUAGAACAUGUCAGACUAUCAUCACAGCAUUACCUAUCAGAUGGGUCUUUCUGCCAAACCACCUGAGUAACUUUAAAACUUUCUUAGAGAAUGUAACAUUUUCCUCAUUUGGAUGAAAUUUAUCUGAUGUUUUUACUAGCGCACUUCCAUGCAACUUGUGAAGUCAAACAAACCUGAUGUUGAUAAAAUGACAGGAGUGGAUGAUAAACUAGUCCUCAGUUACAUUACAAUGUGUAUUUAGACACUGAACUUUAAACUGUGUACUAACGGUAGUUCUGCACACUUAUACAAUCACAGAAAAAAUGUGUAGCCAUUGAAAAUGUGUGCUAUGGGUGGUAACAACAGUUACAGCUCCGUUGUUGGGUUUUAUUAUGUAGAUCUUUUCUCUCUUGAAAAAAGUCAGCAACUUCCAUUUAAUUUGUUCUUUACCUAUUAAAAGUAUUGUUUUUCAACUGAG